rnacentral:rRNA from 1 species
CCUACGGGAGGCAGCAGUGGGGAAUAUUGGGCAAUGGAGGAAACUCUGACCCAGCGACGCCGCGUGCGGGAUGAAGGCCUUCGGGUUGUAAACCGCUUUCAGUAGGGAAGAAGCGAAAGUGACGGUACCUACAGAAGAAGCACCGGCUAACUAUGUGCCAGCAGCCGCGGUAAUACAUAGGGUGCAAGCGUUGUCCGGAAUUAUUGGGCGUAAAGAGCUCGUAGGUGGUUCGUCACGUCGGAUGUGAAAAUCUGGGGCUCAACCCCAGACCUGCAUUCGAUACGGGCGAUCUAGAGUGUGGUAGGGGAGACUGGAAUUCCUGGUGUAGCGGUGGAAUGCGCAGAUAUCAGGAGGAACACCAAUGGCGAAGGCAGGUCUCUGGGCCAUUACUGACACUGAGGAGCGAAAGCGUGGGGAGCGAACAGGAUUAGAUACCCUGGUAGUCCACGCCGUAAACGGUGGGCACUAGUUGUGGGAACCGUUCCACGGUUCUUGCGACGCAGCUAACGCAUUAAGUGCCCGCCUGGGGAGUACGAUCGCAAGAUUAAACCCAAACGGAAUUGACGGCGUGAGACGNGCGACGACGACGACGAGGAGGAGG